rnacentral:rRNA from 1 species
AUGUCAGGGUUAUCCCAGAUUGUACACCCAUACUUGGGUGCAUGGGCCAUGUACGUGGCCUACGUGCCGGGCCAGUGUCACGGUGUGCUGCUAGGAGAACCCCGGGUUGUACGUGUAUUCUUGGGUGCAUGGCCAUGCCCGUGGCUGGGUUGGUCGUGUUGUGCUUGUUCUCUUACUCUCGUGUGUUUGGUCGUCUAUUUUGUUUUUGUUUUUUUCCUUCCUAUGUGCCUGUUUGGUUCAUCGGUUGUACUAUUUGCAGGAGGCUUGGUUUUGCCUGCUUACGAUACGAGGCUCUUGGUGCGUCAGGCGUUUUUCAUGGCUCCUCUUUCAAAAGAUGUUGCUAUACUCAAGACUGUUUUGUAG